UCUCAAAAAAAGAAAAAGAAAAAAAAAAGAGUUCUUAGAUAUGACACAAAAGGCACUAUCUAUAAAAUUUAAACAACAGAUAAAUUAGACUCCAUCACAACUAAAGCCUUUACUCUUAUGAAAGACCCUGUUAAGAGGAUGAAAAGACAAGCUACGGGCUGAGAGAAAAUAUUUGCAAAACACAAACAUGACAAAGGACUUAUAUCUUGAAAACACAGGCACUCACUCCUUGCUUUGCACAGCAGUAAGACCAUAAAAGUGGCCAUGCAAGCUGAAACCACACAACACAAUCUUAAAUCUGAAUCAGUGGGAAGUUAUGAUUGUUCUAUGACCUUUAAAAAUUUGUUAAAACUUUCUUACUAUUGGCAACAGAUGUACAGGUAAAUUUUAAAAGUAGUAAAACUAAUAUUUAAUACAUUGUAAUUUAAAGCAUUAGAAACUUUUAGAAUUAAAGUGCUUUAUAUCUUUCUAAAAAAACACCAGUAAUAGUUUAAGCAGUGUCUUCUCAUGAUAUAACACAAUAGAGCAAGCAUUCUUUCUUUGCUUGUGUAAAAUCAAAUUACACAGUGGGCAAAAAACAUGAGCAGACAUUUCACCAAAGAGGAUAUAUGUUAUAGACACUGAAUAUACACUCAACAUCUUUAGCUGUUAGGGACGAAUUAAAACCAUGAUGCUAAAUCACUAAACACCCAUUAGAACAAGUGAAAAACAUUUUUUUAAUCCUGACAAUAUUAAAUGCUGGUGACGAUUUGGAGAAACUAGAUCUCUCAUACAUAGCUAAUAACAACAUACAGUUGUACAGUCACUCUGGAAAAUAAUUUGGCAGUUUCUUAAAAGAAAAACAAAUAUACAAUACCGUAUAACCCAGCAACUACAUUCUUGGGCUUUUAUCCAAGCAAAAUAAAAAUUUAUGCCUACAAAUUCACGUGUACAUGAAUGUUCAUAGCAUCUUUACUUGCCAUAGUCAAAACCCAGAAACAAUCCAAAUGUCCUUCAGUGGGUGAAUGGUUAAACAAACUGUGGUACAUUCAUAUCAUGGAACAUUACUCAGAAAUAAAAAGGAACAACCAUUGACACAUGCAACAACUUGGAUGGAUCUUCAAGGGAAUUACAGUGAGUGAAAAAAGCCCAUCUCAAAGGUUACAUGCUAUAUGAUUUCAAUUAUAUUCUCAAAAUAACAAAGUUACAGAGAUGGAGAACAGAUUAGAUGGUUGUCAACAGUUAGGAAUGCAGUGAUGAUAAAAGGAGGAGAGAAGGUUUGGUGUGACUAUGAAGUAGCACAAGGGAUCUUUGUGCUGAUGGAACAGUUCUGCAUCUUGCUUGAGGUUAUGCAAAUCUACUCCUGAUCAAAGCAUAUAGAACCACAAAGACACAGACACACACAGACACAUAUGCACACGAGGACAUGUAAAACUGGUGAAAUCUGAAUAAGGUUUGUGGAUUGUAUCAAUGUGCUGGUUUUGAUAUGAUAUACCAUGUUGUAUCAUUUUAUGUAAGAUGCUACCACUGGGAGAAACUAGGUGAAGGGCAACUGGGGCCUCUCUGUCCUAUUUUUGCAACUUCUUAUGAAUCUAUAAUUAUUUCAAAAUAAAAAGUUAAAAAAAAAUGACCUCCAACCCAGUGGCGUCACUUUUAGGAAUUUAUCCAGGAUACACUCACAUAGGUACAAAGAAGUUUACACAUGAAUGUUCACUGCAACCCUGGUUUAUAAUGGCAAAAAGACUGUACUUAACUCAGACUCUCUCCAAUGUUGGCACAGCCAUAGGUUGACAGGGUAUAUGCAGCCAGUUAAAAGCCAUUUACCGUAUAAUGAAUGCUUACCUCAAUUAAAAACAUUCUUUUUAAGAAGACAGGAAAAAUUUGAAUGGAUAGCCAAGGAUUUCCAAGAUAUACUAUUACGGGGACAAAGUAAGACACAGAAGAAUACUAAUACCUGUGUUAGAAAGAGAAAGAGGUAUUUAUACGUCAGCUCAUUAUCUACAGAACAGGCCUGGAGAGGUCCCAGGAAUCUGUACAUAGUAAUUACCUCUAGAAAGAGAAACUGGGUGCCCUUUGAAUUUUGUAGCAGGUGAAUAAAUCAAUAUUCAUUAAUCUAAAGAUUCCCACUACCACCACCACGGUUUCAUACUCGGAUCAGUCACCAAGACUUUAUUAAAUCUCUCUUUCUGGUUUCCACGGGAUUACUUUGCCACAAUGCUGUUUUCCUCUUUAUGCUCCUCCUGACACUGUAUAUAUUAAUGUAAACCACAAUUCUAACACGUGACCCUUCCCGAUACAAUGUACCUUCUAGGACAUAGUUUAUUCACCACUCUGAAAGAAAUCUCUCGUGAGCAGCAUACCCCACGUAUCAGUCAGGAUCCAAUCAGGAGGGAGACAGAAACCACACCAGUCAUUUUUUUUUCCCCAUAAAAUCUAGAUUCUGCACAAACCAGUAAUUUAAUAGAGAAAAUUAAAUAUAGAAAAUUGUUAAUAAAAGAUGGUUUACUAAAAGUAAUAAAGAAGAUUCUAAUGGGUACAGAAAUAACAAAGGGAGAAAGAACACUAACAACUCAAGAGUCACUCCCCAGCACUAUUCCAGGGCUGAGAUUCAGAACUCACUGGAGAGGGCAUAGUUGCCACAGGAACUUGGGCUGUAGAUGGAAGAAAUUUACCAAGGGGAAAGACCAGAGCUGAUCGAAUCAGAGCACCUCACCUGGUGGCAGAAUCACUGGAGGUUCUGGGUAGGCCAAAGGUGUUCUGUAGGGACAUUUUACCAGGCAGCAGAGAAACCCGAAGGUGUGGGCCACCGUUAUGAAGGUUGUUGAGGUGAGACUGACCUUCUGCAGGCCAAUCCACUGGCAGCCAAUCAAAUAACAGCACACCAGAACCAGAAAGAGAAGCCUAUUCCCCUUGCUAUUGCCUUAGUGUGUCCCUCCAAUGACAAAGCCUAACACUGAACUUGCUCGCAAAGGAAAAACCUGUACAAGGGUCGAGUUUCAACAUUGCAAAGCAAGGUGUACCUUAGAGCUCAGAGAUAACAAAUUGAUAACUGGUACACCCCACAAUUUUGAAGAUGAAUUACAGUGAGGUGAUUACUAUAAUUUAAUGGUGUGCUGAUGUUAUAAAAGUAUGGAAGAGGGAAAAACUGAAUCUUUAAUUACUCCUUACUAGAUAUUGCUAUGAUUUCUGAAUCUUCCAUAUGUAUUUGUGUGUGUUCAUUUCUUCAGAUACAAUCUGUGAUCAUCCCCAUAUAGGUAGAUUUCAAGAUUUUGUAGUAUCAUAUGUGUGGAAAAUGAAGAUUUGAUUUUCGUAAAUCAGUGAGAACAUGGAUAACACUGACGUAAACACAUCUUUGUUCAAUUGGUUUUAAGAGCAUUAAUUCUGGUCUUUUUUUUUUCUCAUAUGGGAUAAUACUAACAAUGGCAAAUAUCUUAUGCUGUUCAUAAUGUGAAGAAUCACAAAAACACACAUCUGUUAUUUGAUAUGUACAAACUAAGGUAGAUUUCACAGAUAUAAAUUUGAGCCGAGUCUUGAAGGGUAAGAACACAUUCCAGGCAGGGAAAGAAACAUUUACUGAGGUACGGAGAUGUGAAAAGGAAUGGUGUGUUGAGAGGCUGCAAAAGAGUGUAUGUGGCGCUCAUGUCUUCGGGAGGGAAGGAUUAGAUGAGGCUGAAAGAUAAUUAGGCCUUAGGUUUUCUGAAUCUUGUUAAAUAUGUAGAUCCCAAGGCUAUAACCCACAAAGGACUAUUUAGUAAGUUUGGGACAGGGGCCAAGGAAUCUGCAUUUUAAUCACACAACUACCUACCAUUGGAUGCUAAUGCUCAUGAUCCACACAAGACAAAUACUGUAUAAAAAGAUUUUUACUUAGUGCUACAGGUCUCCAAAGUAGGGCGUACACACCUCAGGGACCAUGCAAGAUAAUUCAGCGGGGUGCUAGAAGAUACUAAAAUACAUAUUUGCAUUUAAAUUCAACUUUAUUAAUAGUUAAUAUGUGGGUACAGAUGCCUUCAUUUGAUCUGUAUACAAGGUGAGGGGAGAACAAGACUUGACAGUGAAGCCUCAUCCCCUCGCAUCCAGGCUACCAUGACAGGUAAGUUUACAGACACUACACAAAAUGGAAAGUGGCACAAAAAGAUUUCUAGGGAAAAAAAAAAAAUCAAUAGAGUAAAAGAUAAUA